rnacentral:rRNA from 1 species
AUUGAACGCUGGCGGCAGGCCUAACACAUGCAAGUCGAACGAGUGGCGGACGGGUGAGUACUGUCUGGGAAACUGCCCGAUGGAGGGGGAUAACUACUGGAAACGGUAGCUAAUACCGCAUACCAUCGGAUGUGCCCAGAUGGGAUUAGCUUGUAGGUGAGGUAACGGCUCACCUAGGCGACGAUCCCUAGCUGGUCUGAGAGGAUGACCAGCCUCACUGGAACUGAUACACGGGCCAGACUCCGACGGGAGGCAUCAGGGGGGAAUAUUGAACAAUGGGCGAAAGCCUGACGCAGCCAGGCCGCGUGUAUGAAGAAGUCCUUCGGGUUGUAAAGUACUUUCAGCGGGGAGGCGUUACCCGCAGAAGAAGCACCGGCUAACUCCGUGCCAGCAGCCGCGUUAAUAC